AGCAGCCGCGGUAAUUCCAGCUCCAAUAGCGUAUAUUAAAGUUGUUGCAGUUAAAAAGCUCGUAGUUGAAUUUUAGACUUGGCCGGGCGGUCCGUCUUUGGCGAGUACUGUUCUGUUGUCGGGUCUUCCUUCUGGUGAACCAGUAUGUCCUUAAUUGGGUGUGUUGGGGAGCCAGGACCAUUACCUUGAAAAAAUUAGAGUGUUUAAAGCGGGCUAUUGCUUGAAUAGAUUAGCAUGGAAUAAUAGAAUAGGACGUUGUGGUUCUAUUUUGUUGGUUUCUAGGACCACCGUAAUGAUUAAUAGGGAUAGUUGGGGGCAUUAGUAUUCAAUUGUCAGAGGUGAAAUUCUUGGAUUUAUUGAAGACUAACUACUGCGAAAGCAUUUGCCAAGGAUGUUUUCAUUAAUCAAGAACGAAAGUUAGGGGAUCGAAGACGAUCAGAUACCGUCGUAGUCUUAACCAUAAACUAUGCCGACUAGGGAUCGGAUGAUGUUAAUUUUUUAAUGACUCAUUCGGCGCCUUACG
rnacentral:rRNA from 1 species